UUUCUUGUGCCUCAAUUACAUUCGCCACAAAAAAACUAGGGGGAUGUUGGUUGGGAAGGAAAUAUGAGGCCAAUGAUGAAGCACCACGUGUCGAUAUUUAAGAAAUUAACUUACCUUGGGUAUCUCAGGUACCCUAGGUACUCUAGGGGUACCUCAGGUACACUAUGUAAGGAUACAAAAAGUCUUCGUAAAAAUGUGAAGGGAUAUGUGGGCCCCGAAUUUCAAAAAAAUCAGUUUAAUACGUGUCAAAAAAUAAGGAAUCGGUGGGGAAAUCUCGUGCCAUAAAAGAGGAGAUAGCCGCCUGUCACGCCAGCAAAUCCGCCAAAAGUUUGAUAUUAUGACAGUGGGACCACCAAUUUUUUCUGCUACGCUUGCAAAAUUACAACGGAAUUGCAGAGGUACGCAGGACCACUCCACUACGCCUAGUACGUGAAUACGCCACAAACUUGAUCUCCAUGUAUGUUUUUGAAAUGCCUAAGCCGCCAUACACAUAAAAAUAAGAAUAUUUCUGACAUGACAGCAGGGAAUGCCACUAAAAUAGCGUCAGGUAGCACAGCGACCGGGGUACACCAUAUAAAUACUCAAGUUUAAUUUUUAUCAAUUAUAUUAACACACACCACCAAAAACUAAGGUUUCUUCAACCUCCAUUACCGAGAGCUUGCAAGCUC
rnacentral:lncRNA from 1 species